rnacentral:rRNA from 1 species
UGGCGGCAGGCCUAACACAUGCAAGUCGAACGGUAACAUGACUAGCUUGCUAGUUGAUGACGAGUGGCGGACGGGUGAGUAACGCGUAGGAAUCUACCCAGUAGCGGGGGAUAAGCCAGAGAAAUUUGGUCUAAUACCGCAUACGCCCUUCGGGGGAAAGCAGGGGAUCUUCGGACCUUGCACUAUUGGAUGAGCCUGCGUGAGAUUAGCUUGUUGGUGAGGUAAUGGCUCACCAAGGCGACGAUCUCUAGCUGGUCUGAGAGGAUGAUCAGCCACACUGGAACUGAGACACGGUCCAGACUCCUACGGGAGGCAGCAGUGGGGAAUAUUGCACAAUGGGCGCAAGCCUGAUGCAGCCAUGCCGCGUGUGUGAAGAAGGCCCUAGGGUUGUAAAGCACUUUCAGCAGUGAGGAAAGGUUAGUAGUUAAUACCUGCUAGCUGUGACGUUAACUGCAGAAGAAGCACCGGCUAACUCCGUGCCAGCAGCCGCGGUAAUACGGAGGGUGCGAGCGUUAAUCGGAAUUACUGGGCGUAAAGCGCGCGUANGUGGAUUGGUCAGUCAAAUGUGAAAGCCCAGGGCUCA